AGAAAAAGGUCUGGCCCCAGACUUUUGUGUACACCACAGUUGCCCACCAUAACAGGAAGUUGGGUUAGGCCUUUUUCUCUGCGAUGGACAAGGCGUAGAGGAGGUCUUUCUAAUAUAUUCACUCUACCCAUUUUCUUUUCUCUUUCUGGGCAGAUACUUUUCCCUAGAGUCUGAUAGCAGGUGUGAUUUAAAACUUGAAUUUUACAAAGAAAUGUUUGCUUCAUGUUCAACCAUGACAUUUUCUGCUUCAAUUUCUGAUUUAAAGAUUAAUUUGUUACUGGUCAACCUAUCCAAAAUUGAGGCCUUCAAAAAACCCCUAAUACUUAAUGACGGAAGCAAGGAUGGGCUGCAUGUUGAUUUAGCAGUAUGAGAUGUCGGAGUGCCAAAUCAGAGAUCUCUAGUAAAAACAAUAUUAAUGCCAAACCACAUUUUCAUGACUGAGAUCAAUCGUUUCUAAGAUAGGUUUCACCAACUUGGUGCUUUACGCAUGUUGAUACCUGUGGCAUAAAUCUUGAUGUUUAACAUCUUGGUAAAUAUUAAAAUUGUAAAUUGGCUCCAAAUUUAUUUAAACAUGCUUAUAAAUCAUAGAAACUCUAAAUAAUAUGAUUGGAUGAGGGCUAAUAUUUAGGAGAUUUACUAAUCUAUGUAUAUAUAUUGGGGAGGUGAGGAAAAUAUAAAUAACAGAAAAUAUAUUAAAACAUUUUCUAACACAGUUUUUGAUCUCUUCACUCUAAUUAUUAUGAUUGAGUGUAAAAAUAUAAUUGUAUAUGUACAAAAUGCUAUAAUUCCCCUGUUGUGUCUCCAAACGCUUGGAUUAUAAAGAGAUAGAUUUCUCACUUGUGCCUUUCUUCAUCAUUUAAUGGUCAUGUCGACUAAAGUGGGAAUUGAUUGCCUCUGGCAAUUAUUGCUGAUGUUGAAUAUAAUUGUUCUGAACCAUCCUUAUGCUUCUGGAACACACAACACUGGAUGAUGGCUUUAAAAGAUAACAGGAUGUGGUGUAACAUGACACAGUAAAUCCCCUGCUGAAUCAGGCUUUUUGUUUUUCUCAAUUGUCUUCCUCUUUUUAUCUGGUACUUGAUCCUCUAUUCACAAAAUAUAAAGGUAUAACUAGGUCAACAUUAGAAAGAUUGUGGCUGUUGGUAUUCUACUUGCCUCUUAUUGUAAAUAAGCAUUUUAACAGUCAAAAAAUAUCUUGCUUAUCUAUACAUUUGUGGUAGAGUAAGCCCAAUGUCUUGGCUUUUAUGAACUUCUUAUUUUGUCUUUAUUUCAUAAUCUCAUACUAGCCAGCUCUACCCUAUCACAUAAUAAUAAACAACAGCUAAUAUUUUAUGAUAACUACCUUGUACCAAAUGGUUUUCUUAAUGAAUUUUCUUCGUUUAAUCUUUUCAACCAUUUUGUUUUCCAUUUCUUGAUAACAAAGGCUAAGAGAGGUUGAGUGACUUGGCUGGGGCCACACAGGAAAGUGAGGGAGGUGAAAUUCAAAACUGUGCCAUCUGACAGCAAUGCCAAUACAGCUUACCACGGCCUGCUAUUCUUCCUUGCUUCUCCUAAGGUCCACUUCACAUAUGUACAGCUUUGCCUACCAAGAAAAGGAAUGAGGAAUUUGUCUUUUUCUAAUGGGAAGCAGGCAUGUCAGAGAUUGCAUUGUGCACUUUCCAGGAUCAUACCACCUACCUCAUUCUCUUUGCCACCCCUGUUUCACCAUCUCUAUGUGCCAUUCAUUUAUUCAUCCCUCAAAUAUUUAUUGAUCUUCUACUAAAUACCAAGCAAUGCUAAAGUCACUGAAGAUAUAGCAAUAAGCCAAGCCAAGUUUCUCUCUCAAGUAGUGUCAUUUUAUUGUGGUUACAGUUGACAAGUAAUAAAACAAAGAUAGGUGUGCCUGUGUAUGUGUACGUAUUUAUUUUAUACAGGGUGAUUGAAGGACUCCUACAAUGAUAUCAGAGCAAAAAUCUGAAAUAAGUGAAGGAAAAAUCAUGCAACUCCAGGAAAAAAAUAUUGUCUUUAAAUAUUCCAAGGUAAGUAAGUAAGGCUUAAAUAUUCCAAGGUAAGAGUUUUGUUGCUAUAUUGAAGGAGAGUGUGACUGAGCAGUAUUAACAAGAAGUAGUCAGGGGUUGUAAUAUUGGAAGGUUUGUGUCUAUAAGAACUUGGGUUCUUUUAGGUGACCUACAAAGCCAUUUGGAGAAUUUUUAACAAAAGAGUAAAAUAAUCUCCUUUUCUUUUCAAAACUUUUUUCAUAUGCUGUGUCAAAAACAGAAUAAAGGGAGGCAAAGAAAGAUAAAGAGUAGUGUGAAGCCUGUUACAAUAGUUCAAGUGCAAGACGAUGAUGCCUCAGUCUAGAAUGAGAGCCAUGGAACUGGUGAGAAGUUGCAGGGUUAAGGGUGUCUUUGAAAGGUAUAGAUGACAGGACUUCCUGGGGAACUGGAUGUAAGGCAUGACAUAGAUGGUGUAGUAAGGAUGGUUCUGAGAUUAACCUGAAUAAGUGAAAGCAUAAAUUUGCCAUCACUGAGAUAGGAAAACUCAAGCAAAAGAAGAUUAGAUGGGAAAUGGCUGGGUAUUAAGUUUAAUUUUGUUCAUGUUAAGGUUAAAAAUUUUUGUUAGAUCAUGCAAGUAAAUACGUAAAUAGUUGGAUAUAGGAAUGUGUAAUUCAAGAAAUAGUUUUGGGCUUGUAUCAUAUAAAUUUGAGAGUCAUUAUCACAUGGAUAGAAU
rnacentral:lncRNA from 1 species